AACGCGAAGAACCUUACCAAGGCUUGACAUAUACCGGAAACGGCCAGAGAUGGUCGCCCCCUUGUGGUCGGUAUACAGGUGGUGCAUGGUUGUCGUCAGCUCGUGUCGUGAGAUGUUGGGUUAAGUCCCGCAACGAGCGCAACCCUCGUUCUGUGUUGCCAGCGGGUUAUGCCGGGGACUCACAGGAGACUGCCGGGGUCAACUCGGAGGAAGGUGGGGACGACGUCAAAUCAUCAUGCCCCUUAUGUCUUGGGCUGCACACGUGCUACAAUGGCCGGUACAAUGAGCUGCGAUACCGCGAGGUGGAGCGAAUCUCAAAAAGCCGGUCUCAGUUCGGAUUGGGGUCUGCAACUCGACCCCAUGAAGUCGGAGUUGCUAGUAAUCGCAGAUCAGCAUUGCUGCGGUGAAUACGUUCCCGGGCCUUGUACACACCGAGACGAC
rnacentral:rRNA from 1 species